rnacentral:tRNA from 1 species
GGAGAGGUGCCAGAGCCAGGUCGAAUGGACCGCACUGCUAAUGCGGGGACCACCUUCAAAGUGGUCCGUGGGUUCAAAUCCCACCCUCUCCGC